GGGCAAUUAACUCAGUUGGGAGAGUGUCACCUCGACAAGGUGAAAGUCGUGGGUUCGAGUCCCUCAUCGCCCACCA
rnacentral:tRNA from 1 species